rnacentral:rRNA from 1 species
UACAGAGGGUGCGAGCGUUAAUCGGAAUUACUGGGCGUAAAGCGUGCGUAGACGGUUACGUAAGUCGGAUGUGAAAGCCCCGGGCUCAACCGGGGAAUUGCAUUCGAGACUGCGUAGCUAGGAUGCGGAAGAGGGAAGCGGAAUUUCCGGUGUAGCGGUGAAAUGCGUAGAUAUCGGAAGGAACACCAGUGGCGAAAGCGGCUUCCUGGUCCAGCAUCGACGUUCAGGCACGAAAGCGUGGGGAGCAAACAGG